rnacentral:tRNA from 1 species
UUGUUUGGUGGCCGAGUUUGGAGGUGGUAGACUGUAGAUCUACUAACGGAAUUAAAUUUCCCCAACAAAC